rnacentral:rRNA from 1 species
AACGAACGCUGGCGGCAUGCCUAACACAUGCAAGUCGAACGAAGGCUUCGUCCUUAUUGGCGCACGUGUGCGUAACGCGUGGUGAUCUGCCCUUUGCUUCGGUAUAACAGAUAGAAAUGACUGCUAAUACCGGAUGAUGUCGCAAGGCCAAAGAUUUAUGGGCAAAGGAUGAGCCCGCGUAGGAUUGGGUGGUUGGUGGGGUAAAGGCCUACCAAGGCGACGAUCCUUAGCUGGUCUGAGAGGAUGCUCCACCGGACUGGGACUGAGACACGGCCCAGACCGCGACGCAAGGGUGCAGUAGAGAACAUUAGGGGAUGAACCCUAACCUGGUCAAGCAAUGUCGGGGAAGAGAGCAAGGGGUUAGGAUUCUAAUGCUCUUUUAGACGAGACGAUAAUGACGGUACCGGGAGAAUAAGCACCGGCUAACUACGUG